rnacentral:rRNA from 1 species
UUGCUCUUCAACGAGGAAUCCCUAGUAAGCGCAAGUCAUCAGCUUGCGUUGAUUACGUCCCUGCCCUUUGUACACACCGCCCGUCGCUACUACCGAUUGAAUGGCUCAGUGAGGCGUUGGGACUGGCCCAGAGAGGUGGGCAACUACCACUCAGGGCCGGAAACUUCUCCAAACUCGGUCAUUUAGAGGAAGUAAAAGUCGUAACAAGGUCUCCGUUGGUGAACCAGCGGAGGGAUCAUUACUGAGUGUAAAAACUCCCAAACCACUGUGAACAUACCAUGUUGCUUCGGCGGUUCCCGUCCUGUCCUGCCUCACCGCGAGCCAGGCCGGGCCGCCGCCGGAGGACCCAAACUCUUGUCUUUAUAGUGACUUUCUGAGUAGCAUAAGCAAAAUAAAUCAAAACUUUCAGCAACGGAUCUCUUGGUUCUGGCAUCGAUGAAGAACGCAGCAAAAUGCGAUAAGUAAUGUGAAUUGCAGAAUUCAGUGAAUCAUCGAAUCUUUGAACGCACAUUGCGCCCGCCAGUACUCUGGCGGGCAUGCCUGUCUGAGCGUCAUUUCAACCCUCGGGACCCCGUUCGCGGGACCCGGCGCUGGGGAUCAGCUUGUAAAAGAGCUGGCCCUGAAAUCUAGUGGCGGUCCGCCAGCGAUCUCCUCUGUGCAGUAGUUAAUACCUCGCAGCUGGAUAGCGGUCGGGCCACGCCGUAAAACCCCCACUUUCUCAAGGUUGACCUCAGAUCAGGUAGGAAUACCCGCUGAACUUAAGCAUAUCAAUAAGCGGAGGA